rnacentral:rRNA from 1 species
GAUGAACGCUGGCGGCGUGCCUAAUACAUGCAAAUCGAGCGAAUGGAUUAAGAGCUUGCUCUUAUGAAGUUAGCGGCGGACGGGUGAGUAACACGUGGGUAACCUGCCCAUAAGACUGGAUAACUCCGGGAAACCGGGGCUAAUACCGGAUAACAUUUUGAACCGCAUGGUUCGAAAUUGGAAGGCGGCUUCGGCUGUCACUUAUGGAUGGACCAGCGUCGCAUUAGCUAGUUGGUGAGGUAACGGCUCACCAAGGCAACGAUGAGUAGCCGACCUGAGAGGGUGAUCGGCCACACUGGGAAUGAGACACGGCCCAGACUCCUGCGGGAGGCAGCCGUAGGGGAUCUUCCGCAAUGGACGAAAGUCUUACGGAGCAACUCCGCGUGAGUGAUGAAGGCUUUCGGGUCGUAAAACUCUGUUGUUAGGGAAGAACAAGUGCUAGUUGAAUAAGCUGGAACCUUGACGGUACCUAACCAGAAAGCCACGGCUAACUACGUGCCAGCCGCCGCGGCAA